UACUACCAAGCUAUUAAUCCACUGACUUCCAGCCUGCUAUAUGUGAUCCAGUGUGUGACUGUGUGGUGUGUGUACUUUCAGGGAGUAGGAGGUUGGCCCAGUUCCAAGAACUAGACAAAGUCCUCUUGCAAAGGAUCGAAAACAACUAUGUGAUCCUGGCUGGAAUGCUAGUCCAUGACCCAGAUGAUCCAUUUCUAGAAUGCACUCAGGACCAGGGAGAAGCAAAGAAAUAAGAGAAAGCCACAGAUGACAGAUUAAGAGGUCACCAACUGCCAAUUUCAUAAUGUGGAAUGAAACAGAAAGAUAGGAAAAGACAAGAUCAUGCAUUGGCUUGGAGACAAGUUUUCCAGAUGCAAGGCUCGCCCCUCAAACUUUGCGAUACCCUGGAACCUAAGAAUUUUGUGCGCUGAAGGGACUGAUUGUGAAUCAAAUUUUUCAUCAGGUUUGGAAGGAUUUAUUGAGGAAUCCUGAAGGAAAAAUCUCCUGUCACCAAAGUAAGAUUUAAACCUCUUAAGUGCACAUAAGUCAAGCAGAAAUUAUGGUAAUUGGACUUAAACCUGCUUCCCUCUCUGCAUACUGUAAAUAAAAGACGACAGUUUAAACA
rnacentral:lncRNA from 1 species